CUCUCCUGAUAGGUUAGCGGCGGACGGGUGAGUAACACGUAGGCAACCUGCCUGCAAGACCGGGAUAACCCACGGAAACGUGAGCUAAUACCGGAUAUCUCAUUUCCUCUCCUGAGGGGAUGAUGAAAGACGGAGCAAUCUGUCACUUGCGGAUGGGCCUGCGGCGCAUUAGCUAGUUGGUGAGGUAACGGCUCACCAAGGCGACGAUGCGUAGCCGACCUGAGAGGGUGAACGGCCACACUGGGACUGAGACACGGCCCAGACUCCUACGGGAGGCAGCAGUAGGGAAUCUUCCGCAAUGGGCGAAAGCCUGACGGAGCAACGCCGCGUGAGUGAUGAAGGUUUUCGGAUCGUAAAGCUCUGUUGCCAGGGAAGAACGUCCGGUAGAGUAACUGCUAUCGGAGUGACGGUACCUGAGAAGAAAGCCCCGGCUAACUACGUGCCAGCAGCCGCGGUAAUACGUAGGGGGCAAGCGUUGUCCGGAAUUAUUGGGCGUAAAGCGCGCGCAGGCGGUCAUGUAAGUCUGGUGUUUAAGGCCAAGGCUCAACCU
rnacentral:rRNA from 1 species